rnacentral:tRNA from 1 species
GGAGAGGUGGCAGAGUGGUCGAUUGCACCGGCUUGCUAAGCCGGCGAUAGGGUUUGCCCUAUCCGUGGGUUCGAAUCCCACCCUCUCCGC